rnacentral:rRNA from 1 species
GACGUAGGGCGCGAGCGUUGUCCGGAAUUAUUGGGCGUAAAGAGCUCGUAGGCGGCUUGUUGCGUCGACUGUGAAAACCCGCGGCUCAACCGUGUGGCUUGCAGUCGAUACGGGCAGGCUAGAGUUCGGUAGGGGAGACUGGAAUUCCUGGUGUAGCGGUGAAAUGCGCAGAUAUCAGGAGGAACACCGGUGGCGAAGGCGGUGAUCUGGGCCGACACUGACGCUGUAGAGCGAAAGCGUGGGGAGCGAACAGG